rnacentral:rRNA from 1 species
GGACUACCCGGGUUUCUAAUCCUGUUUGCUACCCACGCUUUCGUGCCUCAGCGUCAGUCGUGGUCCAGUAAGCUGUCUACACCACAGGUGUUCCUCCUGAUAUCUACGCAUUUCACCGCUACACCAGGAAUUCCGCUUACCUCUCCCACACUCAAGCACCCCAGUUUUCGGCGCACCCUCCCAGUUGAGCCGGGAGAUUUCACACCAAACUUAGGGCACCGCCUACGCACUCUUUACGCCCAGUAAUUCCGAACAACGCUCGCUGCCUACGUAUUACCGCGGCUGCUGGCAC